rnacentral:rRNA from 1 species
CAUGGUUGUCGUCAGCUCGUGUCGUGAGAUGUUGGGUUAAGUCCCGCAACGAGCGCAACCCUCGACCUUAGUUGCCAGCAUUCAGUUGGGCACUCUAAGGUGACUGCCGGCUAAAAGUCGGAGGAAGGUGGGAUGACGUCAAAUCAUCAUGCCCCUUAUGACCUGGGCUACACACGUGCUACAAUGGGCGGUACAAAGGGCUGCGAACCCGCGAGGGGGAGCGAAUCCCAAAAAGCCGCUCUCAGUUCGGAUUGCAGGCUGCAACUCGCCUGCAUGAAGCCGGAAUCGCUAGUAAUCGCGGAUCAGCAUGCCGCGGUCGAAUACGUUCCCGGGCCUU